UUAACCGUAUAGGGGAGCCGGAGGGAAACCGAGUCUUAAUUGGGCGUUAAGUUGCAGGGUAUAGACCCGAAACCCGGUGAUCUAGCCAUGGGCAGGUUGAAGGUUGGGUAACACUAACUGGAGGACCGAACCGACUAAUGUUGAAAAAUUAGCGGAUGACCUGUGGCUGGGGGUGAAAGGCCAAUCAAACCGGGAGAUAGCUGGUUCUCCCCGAAAGCUAUUUAGGUAGCGCCUCGUGAAUUCAUCUCCGGGGGUAGAGCACUGUUUCGGCUAGGGGGCCAUCCCGGCUUACCAACCCGAUGCAAACUGCGAAUACCGGAGAAUGUUAUCACGGGAGACACACGGCGGGUGCUAACGUCCGUCGUGAAGAGGGAAACAACCCAGACCGCCAGCUAAGGUCCCAAAGUCAUGGUUAAGUGGGAAACGAUGUGGGAAGGCCCAGACAGCCAGGAUGUUGGCUUAGAAGCAGCCAUCAUUUAAAGAAAGCGUAAUAGCUCACUGGUCGAGUCGGCCUGCGCGGAAGAUGUAACGGGGCUAAACCAUGCACCGAAGCUGCGGCAGCGAACGUAUCACCCAAGACAACUUUACGGAGUUGACGAUUGACGGAGCGAAGCGACGUCAAAGCGUUCAUUAAAGUCGAGUUGGCUUAGGGAUACGUUCGUUGGGUAGGGGAGCGUUCUGUAAGCCUGUGAAGGUGUGUCGUGAGGCAUGCUGGAGGUAUCAGAAGUGCGAAUGCUGACAUAAGUAACGAUAAAGCGGGUGAAAAGCCCGCUCGCCGGAAGACCAAGGGUUCCUGUCCAACGUUAAUCGGGGCAGGGUGAGUCGACCCCUAAGGCGAGGCCGAAAGGCGUAGUCGAUGGGAAACGGGUUAAUAUUCCCGUACUUGGUGUUACUGCGAAGGGGGGACGGAGAAGGCUAUGUUGGCCGGGCGACGGUUGUCCCGGUUUAAGCGUGUAGGUGUGUGUUCCAGGUAAAUCCGGUUCACUUUAACACUGAGGCGUGACGACGAGGCACUACGGUGCUGAAGCAACAAAUGCCCUGCUUCCAGGAAAA
rnacentral:rRNA from 2 species